GGGAUACAGCAGUAAUUAAAAUUAAGCAAUAAACGAAAGUUUGACUAAGUUAUGCAACAUUAUAUAGGGUUGGUAAAUUUCGUGCCAGCCACCGCGGUCAUACGAUUAACCCUAAUUAAUAAAGCCCGGCGUAAAGAGUGUUAAAAUUACAAAAACAAUAAGAUUAAAUUUUACCUAAGUCGUAAAAAACAACAGAUAAAAAUAAAAUCAUAAACGAAAGUAAUCUUAAUAAAUCUGAAUACACUAAAGCUAAGACCCAAACUGGGAUUAGAUACCCCACUAUGCUUAGCCAUAAACAAAGAUAUUUAAUAACAAAAAUUUUCGCCAGAGUACUACUAGCAACAGCUUAAAACUCAAAGGACUUGGCGGUGCUUUAAACCCACCUAGAGGAGCCUGUUCUAUAAUCGAUAAACCCCGAUAUACCUUACCACUUCUUGCUAAUCCAGUCUAUAUACCGCCAUCUCCAGCAAACCCCAACAGGGAUUAAAAGUAAGCACAACUAUGCUCGUAAAAACGUUAGGUCAAGGUGUAACUAAUGAAGUGGAAAGCAAUGGGCUACAUUUUCUUCUUCCAAGAAAACAACAACAGUAAUCUUUAUGAAAUUAAAGAUUUAAGGAGGAUUUAGUAGUAAAUUAAGAAUAGAGAGCUUAAUUGAAUUAGGCAAUAAAGCACGCACACACC
rnacentral:rRNA from 1 species